UGCGUGUGUGUGUGUGUGUGUGUGUGUGCACGCGCGCGCGCACACACACACACAGACACAGACACACACACA
rnacentral:miRNA from 1 species